GGCCAUAACUCAGUGGCAGAGCCUCUGUUUUGCAUAUGGGAGGGCCCAAGUUCAAGUCCUGGCAUCUCCA